CAGUAGCCGCGGUAAUACGUAGGGUGCAAGCGUUAAUCGGAAUUACUGGGCGUAAAGCGUGCGCAGGCGGUUUGUUAAGACAGAUGUGAAAUCCCCGGGCUCAACCUGGGACCUGCAUUUGUGACUGUAUAGCUAGAGUACGGUAGAGGGGGAUGGAAUUCCGCGUGUAGCAGUGAAAUGCGUAGAUAUGCGGAGGAACGCCGAUGGCGAAGGCAAUCCCCUAGACCUGUACUGACGCUCAUGCACGAAAGCGUGGGGAGCAAACAGGAUUAGAUACCCGAGUAGUCCCUGUCUCUUAUAC
rnacentral:rRNA from 1 species